AAGGAACCAUGUUGGGCAGGGCUGGGAUCAGCUGGUUGACCAGCUCACUGAAGGACCCUUAGGCACAGAGGACCACAACCACUUCUCUGAGUUGAUUAUGGUCUUCCUCAGAGUGUUGAGCUGCUUGGACAAGUUUUCCCUUUGUACAACUUCUGCACUCCUUCACUGGGGACUAGCAGGCACGAAAGGGCACCUUGAGUAACAAGGGAGAGAAAAUACCCAUGAGGUUGGAACACAGAGCCAGGCGUGGGCACAGACAAGAGGCACCCACAUGUGGGCAGUUGUUUCCUCUUCUAUGAGAUGUGGACGAUUCUCUGAGCAACUCUGGCAGCGAGUCAGCUGGCUCGGAGCACACUGGUUCUUUUGUCAUGCUGGUAAACCCUAUCAUAACCGAAAGUUUGCCAUUGGGAAUAUAAUGAAAUCGCAUAUACUUAGGACUCAUAGGAGAAACCUCUUCACAUAUAUAUAUUUUUUAAUUCUGGUGAAAGACACAUAAUGUAAAUUUAUCAUCAUAACCUUUCUCAAGGGUACAGUUGGUAGUGCUAAAUACAUCCAUACUGUUGUGCAACCAUCACCGUGAUUCAUCUCCAGAACUUCUCAUCUUGCAAAACUGAAACCCUGUUUCCAUUAAACAAUGACUCCCCACUCUCCCCUGACCCUGGUGACCUCUGUUCUACUUUCUGUCUCCUGGAACUUGAAUA